UUAAAUUGAAGAGUUUGAUCAUGGCUCAGAUUGAACGCUGGCGGCAGGCCUAACACAUGCAAGUCGAACGGUAACAGGAAGCAGCUUGCUGCUUCGCUGACGAGUGGCGGACGGGUGAGUAAUGUCUGGGAAACUGCCUGAUGGAGGGGGA
rnacentral:rRNA from 3 species